rnacentral:hammerhead_ribozyme from 1 species
GCACUACUGACGAGUCGAAUGAUAAGACGAGAUGGCCAUCCAGUGC